GUUAGGGUUCACUGAUUUUGAUAAUUAAUCUUGAUACUGGUAAUAGAUUUUGGAUUUUGUAGAUUUGUUCAUUUGUAUUGGAUUCUCUUUUAUCUUUGCAAUUUCUAAAGUCUAUGUUGAUUUUUUCUUUUGUGAAUUGGGUUUUACAGGUAAGUGAUUUGGGGAAUCUGAUCAGAUUGUAUGCUCAAUGGCACUCGUGUUUGCUCCCUUACUAUUCAUUUGAUCAGUUUAUACACAAGGUGGAACAAGUAGGUGCCACCAAGCGUGUACAGGAUGUGCAAGCAUGUAGGAGAAUUUGAAUCGACUUUUCUAUCUGAUCUUGAGGGAGGCUAAUUGCUAAUAAAAGACUCCCAUGAUGGUUUGGAAGGUGAAUUAUGGAUGAAUUUGGAUGGUGAUCUCUCUCCCAUAUGUCUGAAUAUCUUGCCAUUACUUUCCUCUUCCUCACAGCUGUCUUCAUCCUCUUUACAGAUUCUUCCUGCUAACUUUCUGUUACUCUCUGCUUGCCAGGUUCCCUACUUUGACGGGCUAGGAAUGUGAUGUUGGGUUCGGUCCUGGGAGCGGCAUUUUGUUUCCCUCUUGAGUUUGGAGAGCGAGAAGAGGACCCCAUCAUCAUCUAGCAUGGGGCUUUUUGGAUUGACCUAAGGUGGCAACCAUCAGAAGCCAUCUUCCUAGCGGAUUGGUGGUUCAUUCUAUAUCAGAUUGAAUGCUUCUUCUUGAAAGGUUCUAGUUCAUGGUUGGA